UACGGAAGGCAGCAGUGGGGAAUAUUGCACAAUGGGCGCAAGCCUGAUGCAGCCAUGCCGCGUGUAUGAAGAAGGCCUUCGGGUUGUAAAGUACUUUCAGUCGUGAGGAAGGUGUUAAGGUUAAUAACCUUAGCAAUUGACGUUAGCGACAGAAGAAGCACCGGCUAACUCCGUGCCAGCAGCCGCGGUAAUACGGAGGGUGCGAGCGUUAAUCGGAAUUACUGGGCGUAAAGGGCACACAGGCGGUUAAUUAAGUUGGAUGUGAAAUCCCCGGGCUUAACCUGGGAAUGGCAUUCAAGACUGGUUAGCUAGAGUCUUGUAGAGGGGGUAGAAUUCCAUGUGUAGCGGUGAAAUGCGUAGAGAUGUGGAGGAAUACCGGUGGCGAAGGCGGCCCCUGGGACAAAGACUGACGCUCAUGUGCGAAAGCGUGGGGAGCAAACAGGAUUAGAUACC
rnacentral:rRNA from 1 species